rnacentral:rRNA from 1 species
UAGUGAAGGCCAGGCUGAAGACUUUGCCGGAUUAGCUGAGAGGUGGUGCAUGGCCGUCGUCAGUUCGUACUGUGAAGCAUCCUGUUAAGUCAGGCAACGAGCGAGACCCACGCCCACAGUUGCCAGCGUACUCUCUGGAGUGACGGGUACACUGUGGGACCGCCGCUGCUAAAGCGGAGGAAGGAAUGGGCAACGGUAGGUCAGUAUGCCCCGAAUAUCCCGGGCUACACGCGAGCUACAAUGGUUGGUACAAUGGGUAUCUACCCCGAAAGGGGACGGGAAUCUCCUAAAACCAAUCUUAGUUCGGAUUGAGGGCUGCAACUCGCCCUCAUGAAGCUGGAAUCCGUAGUAAUCGCGUUUCAACAGAACGCGGUGAAUACGUCCCUGCUCCUU